rnacentral:rRNA from 2 species
GGACGCAAGUCUGAUGGAGCAACGCCGCGUGAGUGAAGAAGGCUUUCGGGUCGUAAAACUCUGUUGUUGGAGAAGAAUGGUCGGCAGAGUAACUGUUGUCGGCGUGACGGUAUCCAACCAGAAAGCCACGGCUAACUACGUGCCAGCAGCCGCGGUAAUACGUAGGUGGCAAGCGUUAUCCGGAUUUAUUGGGCGUAAAGCGAGCGCAGGCGGUUUCUUAAGUCUGAUGUGAAAGCCCUCGGCUUAACCGAGGAAGUGCAUCGGAAACUGGGAAACUUGAGUGCAGAAGAGGACAGUGGAACUCCAUGUGUAGCGGUGAAAUGCGUAGAUAUAUGGAAGAACACCAGUGGCGAAGGCGGCUGUCUGGUCUGUAACUGACGCUGAGGCUCGAAAGCAUGGGUAGCGAACAGGAUUAGAUACCCUGGUAGUCCAUGCCGUAAACGAUGAAUGCUAGGUGUUGGAGGGUUUCCGCCCUUCAGUGCCGCAGCUAACGCAUUAAGCAUUCCGCCUGGGGAGUACGACCGCAAGGUUGAAACUCAAAGGAAUUGACGGGGGCCCGCACAAGCGGUGGAGCAUGUGGUUUAAUUCGAAGCAACGCGUAGAACCUUACCAGGUCUUGACAUCUUUUGAUCACCUGAG